ensembl:lncRNA
GGCGGAUUAGUUGGUGCUCUUAUAACUGUUUGUGGGGUUAGUAUCCUUGUGACAAUGGGGAAUGUUUUGUGCAACAGCAGUCUUGUGUCUUAGUCAUGGGGUGUAUUGUGCAAGCUUUAAUCCUAUGGUCACAAGCAGGCUCUAAAGCAGCCUGAGGGCACUAAGGCCACCUAAAUGAUGCUUAAUAUAUGUGCUUGAUAUAUGAGCUAUGUAUAUGAAUAUAUGUAUAUAUGACAAAACUAACGAUAUAUCAUGAAGAGAUAUGUGAAAAACACCUUGAGGAUUGAUUCUAAACAACGUUUACCAUGUUUCAGUCGAUAUUAUGGAGUUAAUUUGGAAAAAAGUUCGGCGUUUUGAAGACUGAAUUUGUUUUGGUAGCCAAACGUGACGCACCAAACGGAGCAAUUUCUCCUAAACAAAUAAUCUUUCAGGAAAAACUGAGCAUUUGCUAUCUAACUGAGAGUCUCCUCAUUGAAAACAUCUGAAGUUCUUCAAAGCCCUAGGACCGUGCCUCAGGACAACCUGACCUGAUGACUCCUUGCUGUCCCCAGUCCACCUGGCCAUGCUGCUGCUCCAGUUUCAACUGUUUUGUCUGCGGCUAUGGAACCCUGACCUGUUCACCGGACGUGCUACCUUGUCCUGGACCUGCUGUUUUCAACUCUCUAGAGACAGCAGGAGCGGUAGAGAUACUCUGAAUGAUCGGCUUUGAAAAGUGUGUGUUAAUGUUAAUGUAAUGUAACUAGGUGCAGCUGUUAUGCUGAGCAAACAUAAGAACAAUAAUUACAUUAAUAGGAAGUAAUAAGGACAAUAAUUGCAUUGGCCAGAUGGAGAAAUGGUGUCACCUAGUGCAUUUGCCAUUUCUGAGUAAGAUAACAUGCCAAGGGCAUAAUUCAUGAUGUACCCAUAUGCUGCAUGUGUAUAAGAGCAGAGCCAGUGCUCAGGAAGGUUGGUUGUUACACGGAUCAGCACGGCUUUACUACUCUGUAUUAAAGUCUAUAUUGAAUUCACAAAUUCUUGUAAGAGUGUUAUAUUUCUGAGGCAAUAUUCCAC